GAGUUGUGCUGGAAACAAAAGAUGUAAGGUUGAAAAUAUGAUAAAACUGUGUAUCUCUUCUCUCUUUAAAAAGUGAAUGAGACCCACAUUUUUUAAAUCUUUCUUCUUAAUUUCGUUGUAAACCAAUCAAGGGAAACUCCUUAUAUAUCUCUUCUAACUCUCUCUUCCCCAACUCUCUCUCACUACAAGAAAAAGGAAUAUGGCGCGGUCAAUUUGCGGCGGUUGGUGUAGAACUGCCGCGGCCUUCCACAUACACCGGCAGUUUAGGAACCGUCGCAGUUUUUAGUAUAUUAACGGCGGUUCCGAAAUGCCGCGGUUUACAUUUUUCGUUUAAAUGGUUUUGUACCGGCGGUUCCAAAUCGCCUUCGCUGUUUGUGUUUUGUUUUUCGUUUAUUUAUUUUCACUUUUUCCCUCAUAUUUAUUUCUUUGGAUUCUUUACAGUUCGAUUUUCCAUCUUAUUCUCCAUCUUAGGGUUCCUUCUUCAUCUCUAUUUUCGUUUUCCAUAUCUGAGCGUUAUGUUCUUGUUGCAGUUGUAGAAGGACACGAAUAUAGCUCUCGAGAAUAGUUCGAAUUUGCGUUCAUGAGGAUGAGGACAAGAAAUAGUUUGAAGUUGCGAAUCUGAAGGAGAAGAUUGAUAGACCCAGGGAUUGAGAUGAGUGAAGACAAAAUCUCAAGACUCGCUACAAGAAAUCAAGCAUAUACUGGCGGUCAAAUAGCGGCAUUUGCUCCCUAACCGCCGCCGCCUUCCACAUAUGCCAGCAGUUUGGCAGCCGCCGUUACUGUUCAACCUUUUUGCAUUAGUGGCUGGAGUUGCUUAUUGGACUUCUUGGUUCAUCCUGCCUUAAGCAGCAACUCGACGAUGCCGUGGUGUAUGGUGUAGAACCACCUGAAAGUGCAGUAUUGAAUGGAGGAAAAUCAGUCGUUCUUUCAAAGACAUUGGCUGAAGAUGUUGCAUGAUCGUUGGUGGUGAAGGUGCAUAGCUGAACUAAUGAAGCAAUUCUUUGCAAGAGGCAGUUCUGGUGUGUAGCUCAAGUAAUUUUUAUGGGUGUGGGGUAUCAAUAGCAACCUGCAAAAUCUUGUAGGCUAAAGCUGAUGAGAUAGCAAAAUUGAUGAAUGAGAAUGAACAAUUCAAAGCUUUAAUUGAAGAUUUAAAGUGUGGAGUUAACAGGAAGUACAAGUUGGCUUGGAGUUGACAGGUCUGAUAUGGAACAUCUUGCUCUAAAGUCUAUUUUGAUGUGUAAAUCCCAUUUUAAUUAUUAAUGUUGUAAUAUUCAAAUCAUUCUAAUAACCUAUGAAGCACGGAGAUAGAGACAGACACGAACACGGGACAUGACACGGACACUGACACGUCGACAUCGAUAAUAAUUUGAAAAAAUGACAUAAUUUAGUGUAAUCAUAAGUGUCGGUGUCGGUGUCUGACACCGAAAUUGACACGUGUCCGACACGGACACGCCUAAUUUGAGAAGUGUCGGUGCUUUGUAGCUAAUAACUCAGUUCACUAUAUGUUGACUAGAAACAACAUAUAUCUCUAAGGUUCUGGUAAAAUAGUGGUUUUUACUUGGUUAACUAGUGUUCUUUGGAGUUGAAGAAACACAUUCAGCCAAGAAAAGUCACCAUUUUGUAUCAGCGAACAUGGUGGAUAAUAAGGUUCCACUUUAUGGAGCUGGAUCAACCAUAAUAGUAUCGCAAACUGGCAGUGCUGAAGUUGCACUUUAUGCCCUUGUGUUUAAAUUGUAACUUAAAAUUGUAUAAUUUAAAGUUUGUGAGUAUUAUUUUUGAUUGAGGAUGUCCA